rnacentral:siRNA from 1 species
CAGUGUGGUCAAGUAGAGCAAUCU